rnacentral:rRNA from 1 species
UACGUAGGGUGCAAGCGUUUGUCCGGAAUUAUUGGGCGUAAAGAGCUCGUAGGCGGUUUGUUGCGUCGGCUGUGAAAUCCCGAGGCUCAACCUCGGGUCUGCAGUCGAUACGAGCAAACUAGAGUGUUGCAGGGGAGACUGGGAAUUCCUGGUGUAGCGGUGAAAUGCGCAGAUAUCAGGAGGAACACCGGUGGCGAAGGCGGGUCUCUGGGCAACAACUGACGCUGGAGGAGCGAAAGCGUGGGGAGCGAACAGG